rnacentral:lncRNA from 1 species
AUUACAAAAAAUGGAUGUUACUAAUAUUCUCUGAUUAGAUCUUUUCAGAAUUAGAGCAGAACAGGUUCAAAGGCUAACAUAUGCUGAAAUAGCUGUCGGACGCACAUAAAGACUGCAUCGGUCGUCCGACAACCAUUGAGUAACUUCAGACGCAUGAAAAACCCACUCUCGGACGUCCGAAGAGGAUAAGCCAAGUCCUCUAAGCUAAUUGACCUCGAUCGGACGUACAACACCUGAUUACCGGACGUCUGAUAAACGUUGCGACACUUCGGACGUAAAACAUUGGAGGCACCGGACAUCCGAACGAAUUGAAGGAGAAUUCUCAGUUUUACAUCAUACCUUCGGACGCAUAUUCUGGGGGUACCGGAUGUCCUAAACAAUUCAAGAAAACUUCUUGAACUCACUGCCUGCGUUCGGAUGCAGAAAACUAGCCUACCGGACGUCCGACACCACCAACGGCUAGUUGACUCUUCAGCUGCCUUCUAUCCGUUGGUAGUAUUAAUUGAAAAUUUUUUUGGUCUCUUAUAAAAAGGAAAAAGU